AAAGCUGUAGCCAGCCACAUUCGAUAGCUUUUUCAAGACCAUUCAUAAUAACUAUAAUCUAACGACUCUUAUUAUUCAACCUUCAUCUUCUUCUUAUCUCCUUCUCUAACACUCAGAGACCACCACCGCCACCUGGUUAUUCUUCUUCUUCUAUGUCAACAACAACAACACUCACUCAUCUCAAUACCCAAACUCAAACUACCAAUUCUUCUUUCAAGAAGAAACCACCAUUUCCACUACUACCACCACCACUUAUCAUCCUACUUGGUGCUGCUCUUCCACCUCCCUCCUCUUCUCAACCACCACCACCACCCCAGGCCAACAAACCAAAAACCACCACUACUACUUCUAGUCAUGUUAUUAAUUAUAAUUAACAAUAGUAUUACCUUUCCAUCUGUACUCAAAGCAAUGGCAUGAGCACCACCAGAACAAAGAUUUAAAUGGCGGUGCUUGAAAUUGGUGUGUAUUGUUCUUAUUGUUAUUGUGGUGGUUCUUGAAAUUGAGGAUUUUAUCAUGAAAUUGAAAAUUUAAAAUGGUUGUACUGUUGUAGUAGAAGGUAGAUGAGACGAAGAAGAUGAGUUGAUGAAGAGUCAGUUAAAUUAUGUCCCAACAAAUAAAAAUGAUAUAGUAUACCGUAUGUUUUUUUUUCAAUUUUUUUUAAAAAAAUUAACAUGCUUGCGAUUGGCUAUGAUAGCAAUCAAUUUCCUUAAGUGUAUUACAGUUAUUUUGAAAUAUUGUAUGGUUCAGUUUACGGUUGAUGGCCAAAACCUAAUAGAAAAGAAAACCACCUCCGAACUCUAAUUAGUAUAAAUUAUCAGUGACCAAACUUGAUCACUAUGUGUGUUUGAUUGAAAGUAAGAGAGUUUGUAUAUGCUAUUGUUGUAGGUACUAAUUUGCAGUUAAAUCCAUUUGAUGGGAAUAGGUGGUAUCGGAAAAGAGGUAACUUAUGUCAUUUGGUUUAAAUUAUUAUUUGGUAUUUCAAUUUAAGCUUCAUCUUUGUUAUCUUGGUAUACAUAUUGUAUCUAAACUUUGUGGAUUAGAGAUUGGAUCGACCACUCAAUUAAAUCGACUGGAUGUUGUUAAUUUCAAUCCUUUAAUGUUUUUAUAGAAAACAAUAGUUCAAUUGUAUUGGAAUCAUGUAGAUGUAUCUAAUAAACGCGCUUUUAAAUAUGGUUUCAAAUUUAAAAUCUAACAAUCAAAUGAGACAACUUAGCAAUUAAAACCAUCUUUAUUCUGACUGCAUCCUAGAAACUCAUUUGAACUUUUAAAUUAGACAUACUUGAAAGUCCAAUUAACAAUCAUUUUAUAAUCUUGAUCAGGAAAUAUUGCAGAUCGGAAAGUAUGUGAAUGAACAUAUGACUCAAUCCAAGAAAAUGAGGAGUGGUGGAUGGGAGAGGAGCGGUGGUGGAGAGGUAAGUUUUACAAGUGUGUACCACAAACCCAUCUAAUCCACAUUUGGUGCCUGAAACUUCAAUCCGAUUUUAUCUCCAGUGGCAUGUCACAUGUGUUUAUCACAUGAAACUCUUUCGAUGUUGAUAUAGAACAAGCAACACUUGUAUUUUCCAUGUGAAAUAGUAACUGUUGUUGUCCUACAUUAACAGAAUUCAAGACAUGUUUUGUGUUGUGCGCAGCGGAAACUUAUGCACAAAUAUCUAAGAUUGGAAUAGUGUAUGAAUUAAACAAAACAAAAGGAGAAGAUGAAACUCCUACUACUAUCAAACAAACCCACACAAAACACAAGAUUUACGUGGUUCGGCUAAUAUUGCAUACGUCCAUGGACAAACAAAUAGAACUUUUACUAUUGGAGAAGAUAGUACAAAGCUCUCAAACAAAUAGAGAAACCCCAGGUUUCCUCCCUUCUCAAAUCCUCACCAAAUCUCUCAAAGAGAC
rnacentral:lncRNA from 1 species